AUUGAACGCUGGCGGCAUGCCUAACACAUGCAAGUCGAACGGCAGCAUGUUUAGUAGCAAUACUAAAUGAUGGCGAGUGGCGGACGGGUGCGUAAUACGUAGGGAUUUGCCUUGAAGAGGGGGAUAACCCGGGGAAACUCGGGCUAAUACCGCAUAUUACUCUGAGGAGGAAACGCUUGGUGAAAGCCAGGUGCUUUAAGAGGAACCUACGUCCGAUUAGCUAGUUGGUGGGGUAAAGGCCACCAAGGCCGAUGAUCGGUAGCUGGUCUGAGAGGAUGAUCAGCCACACUGGGACUGAGACACGGCCCA
rnacentral:rRNA from 1 species